GGUUGCAUGGCGUAGUGGUUUAUGUUGGACUAUGAUUCUUGAGACCAGGGUUUGAUUCCCAGCUUGGCCA